UACGUAGGGGGCAAGCGUUGUCCGGAUUUAUUGGGCGUAAAGAGCUCGUAGGCGGCUUGGCAAGUCGGGUGUGAAAACUUCAGGCUCAACCUGGAGAUUGCACUCGAUACUGCCAUGGCUAGAGUCCGGUAGGGGACCACGGAAUUCCUGGUGUAGCGGUGAAAUGCGCAGAUAUCAGGAAGAACACCCGUGGCUAAGGCGGCUCUCUAGUACGGUACUGACGCUGAGACGCGAAAGCGUGGGGAGCGAACAGG
rnacentral:rRNA from 1 species